GGAAGAUUAUUAUCCAAGCUAAUAAAGCAGCUGUCCAAAUAACUGCUCCGAUAGCAGAGAAAAUCACAUCUGAAAGAAACGUGGUGCUAUGAAAGCUUCUUUUGAGAACCAAACCGCAUUCACGGCCCAUAGGAAUGGCAGCAGUGCAAAACCAGCUGUAACAGAGAGAAGUUGAAGAAAAUAUUGAUUUUAGAAGAAAGAUUUUGGAGAGAAGAGACAACUAUCCCAAAAAAUCAAGAACGCAGCUAAAGAAGUUAACAACAUAAGAAUUAUAUUUUAACACUAAGAAUCAUGUACUGCUGCAAAUUUAUAGCUAUACUUUAAUCUAAAUCUAAUUUUAGUUCUCAAUCAAUUUUCAACAUACUUAAGGAUGGAGCAUCUAUAGAUAUCGUCUGCUAAUCCAUACAUGUGUUAAGGUCUGAAUUGUAAUAUUGAAAUAUGAAGUAACUCUGGUUUGAAUUUUAAAUCAUGAUUGGACAGUAAGGCUGUAUUCGAGAAGCAUGCUAUCAGCGAUAUUUGUGCCAUUUAUUCUUGUUUUAACAUCUAAUAAACAAUGAAGAUAGAAUGACACAAAUAGCACUAAUAGUGUCCCGAAUAUACCUUAAGUGUGUUCAGAAUUAGAUAAGGGGUAUCUUCCAAUAAAGCCCAGUUCCACAACUCACAGUUAACUCUUAACCGAAGUUCAACUUGUUUCUUAUUUCUUUCCAAUUCUAGAAUUGAAAAGAAACAAUAAAUAAGUUAAACCUCAGUUAAGAGUUAAUUGUGAAUUAUAGAAUUGGGCCUAAUGUCCAUUUCCAUCAAUGUAGAUCAACUUUAAUCUCGAUUCAACUUACUCUUCGUCUUUUUCUAAUUUUUAUUGGAAAAAGAUGAAGAGUAAAUUGAGAACCGAGAUUAAAUUUGAUCUACAUUGGUGGAAACGGACAUAAGAGAUACAGAUGACACAGUAUAACAGGUGAAUCAUUAUAUUCUUGUUUAUUAAACAAAGAUAAAACGA